UACGUAGGGUGCAAGCGUUAAUCGGAAUUACUGGGCGUAAAGCGUGCGCAGGCGGUUAUGUAAGACAGAUGUGAAAUCCCCGGGCUCAACCUGGGAACUGCAUUUGUGACUGCAUAGCUAGAGUACGGUAGAGGGGGAUGGAAUUCCGCGUGUAGCAGUGAAAUGCGUAGAUAUGCGGAGGAACACCGAUGGCGAAGGCAAUCCCCUGGACCUGUACUGACGCUCAUGCACGAAAGCGUGGGGGAGCAAACAGG
rnacentral:rRNA from 1 species